AUGCUGCGCCGUCCUUGGCGUAAACGCUAGAACCUUCUCUCUUCUGAGCUUCUCUGCUGCUUCAUAGCCCUAGUCCAGCUCUAAUCCUCUGCCAAAAUCUCGAACCCAAAGCAGUGGAACUUCGGUCGACAGACCUGGUGACAAGAGAGACAACCAGAGAAGGCGGUUGAGAUCUUAUACAGCAAGCCAGAGAACAAAACUGAAAAGAUCUUCCAGAUUGAUUGAGUAGACCUACGAGAAUCCCAUUUAAGGCAAACAUCUCAAUUUGUAGGACUACGAUAGAAGCUAUAUACGAGCUUUCGUAGAAGGUUACAGGCGACAACUUCAAGGCAUGCUUCCCCGCAAAGAAAACUUUCUGCUGCUCCAUCGAGUCGUUGCUUAAGUACCAUUCUGAAGGGUGUCAUCAACGGUGAGCCUGUGAUUCUGAACUAAUUUUGAAACAACCAAACCGAAUAGGUAUGCGAAGGGCAAGAGGGACAGUUUCAUAGGAUUAAUUGCAUGGCGAUGGAUGAAAUGAUACUGCACUGCCGAGCAAAUGCAUUGAGCAAUGCCAAGACUUAAUCCAGUAAUUUCGGCGAAUGAACCAAAAAGUUUGUUAUUUGGAGGUGGAUAGUAAAAGCACCAUAGCAUUCCCCUCCUCCUCAGUACAACUCUUUCCUUUUUACCAUUGUGAAUAAGCUCCCAGAUGCAAACAAGUACUGCCACGAUUGCCAACAGCAUACCAAUUAGUGCAUAGUGAGGCUUACCUGGGGAGGAAACCUGAUCAAAAAAAGCAGACAGACUCUCGAUGGCAAAGCUAGUGUAUAACACGAUCUGCUCUGAUGAAGUAGCCUGCAUAAGUUAUACCAACUUCAAUUCAGUUCUUCUUU
rnacentral:sRNA from 1 species